ACAGAACUCUUAAAGCAGCAAGAUUCCAUCACUCCAGACCUGAAAGAGGUGGGACUGCAGGACUGUGGAGUGCAAAUGAAUGUUCCCAAUCAAAUUAGAAUGGAAAGCAGAGAGUCAGAAGAAGAAUCUGAGAGAAAUGAGAAGCAAAAUCAGAGUUCGUGGACUAAGGAGUCAUUCACUCUAGCAGAGGACACAGAAAGGGCUCACUCUACUCUUGAUGAUAUUUUAGAAAGAAUGCUCCAUGCAGUUCCCGGAGAUGAGGAGAUCCAGGAACAACCUCGGGGACACACUCUUGGACAAACACCCCAAAGAUCAGACAUCCCACUUGCAGCAGCAGCAGCUGUCUUCAGCUUCGCCCUUCAGGAUAAUUGUUUUGGAUGAGAGCUCUCUCUGUGAUUAAAAUGGAUAAUGAAUAAGUUGUAACCUAUCAUCUGCUUACUGCUGUUUGUACAGCCUCUGAAUUGUGGGGUUUUUUUGCCACAUAAACAAUUGUAAGGCCCAGACUUCUUUUAACUGCAGCAGCAAGUACAGAAGAAAAUCCGAUGUUCUAUGUUAUA
rnacentral:lncRNA from 1 species